rnacentral:lncRNA from 1 species
CUUUGGCAUGGAGAACUGAGUUAGGAAACCUACUCAUUCCCUCAGUCUUUCAAUUUGUGUACACUGAAUCCUGGGAUGGAAAGUUUCCUUUUGAGAGGAGAAAAAAAUGGUGAAAAGAAAAUUCUAGCAAAUAAAAAAUGAUUUGCAAGGCUUCUCCUGUACUUGCUAAGCUGGAGUGCAAUGGAGUGAUCUCAGCUCACUGCAAC